rnacentral:rRNA from 1 species
UACGUAGGGUGCGAGCGUUGUCCGGAAUUAUUGGGCGUAAAGGGCUCGUAGGCGGUUUGUCGCGUCGGGCGUGAAAACCUUGGGCUUAACUCAGGGCUUGCUUUCGAUACGGGCAGACUAGAGGUAUGCAGGGGAGAACGGAAUUCCUGGUGUAGCGGUGAAAUGCGCAGAUAUCAGGAAGAACACCAAUGGCGAAAGCAGCUCUCUGGGACGGUACUGACGCUGAGACGCGAAAGCGUGGGGAGCGAACAGG